UACGUAGGGACCAAGCGUUGUCCGGAAUCAUUGGGCGUAAAGAGCGUGUAGGCGGCUUUACAGGUCCGUUGUGAAAACUCGAGGCUCAACCUCGAGACGCCGGUGGAAACCGUAAGGCUAGAGUCCGGAAGAGGAGAGUGGAAUUCCUGGUGUAGCGGUGAAAUGCGCAGAUAUCAGGAGGAACACCAGUGGCGAAAGCGGCUUCCUGGUCCAGUACCGACGUUCAGGCACGAAAGCGUGGGGAGCAAACAGG
rnacentral:rRNA from 1 species